UCAGUUAAGAAGCUGAGUUCCAUUCUUGUUCAGAAAAAUGAAGCCGAGUUCCAUUUAUAAUAUUUUAAUAAUGGAUUCAGCUGUACACUAAAGUUCAGAGGCUUGUGAUUAAAAUGAAGAGAAGGAAGUUCAGGUUUUCAAGCACAUAGUACAAUUGGUUAUUCAAACAAGGCAUGUCAUGGGCAUCUUGGUGCCUUAAAUUCUUCAAUUUUGUAGGUUUCACCAUUGAGUUCUCAGGUUCAUUUACUCCAUGAUUACUAGCCUUGGAAAUUUUGGCAAUUAUAGUUUAGUGUAAAUUGUUGUAUAACAGCCUAGGCGUAAGUAUGGCUUUUAAAUACUAUUUACCAUGAUGCUUAGUCCCUUCACUUUCAUUUGUUUCAGCCUUUUGUAAUAAUCAUGUUUUGUUGUUUAUCAUUUCCAGGUUAUAGAAUUUGGUUUUAGUUUGAUAUAAAUAUUGACCAAAUGAAGUAUAAUUAUUGAAAUGUGUUGUCAUUUGAGGUGUAUCUUCCACAUCAAUGUAUAUGCGUAAUCUUGAAAAGCUUGUUUCAAGUAAUUUGGACGAGAGCUAUAUAUGUGUAU